AAUGGAGGCAACUCUGAUCCAGCCAUGCCGCGUGCAGGAAGAAUGCCUAUGGGUUGUAAACUGCUUUUAUAUAGGAAGAACCUUGGUACGUGUGCCAAGCUGACGGUACUAUAAGAAUAAGGAUCGGCUAACUCCGUGCCAGCAGCCGCGGUAAUACGGAGGAUCCAAGCGUUAUCCGGAAUCAUUGGGUUUAAAGGGUCCGUAGGUGGAUAAUUAAGUCAGAGGUGAAAUCUUGCAGCUCAACUGUAAAAUUGCCUUUGAUACUGGUUAUCUUGAGUUAUUAUGAAGUAGUUAGAAUAUGUAGUGUAGCGGUGAAAUGCAUAGAUAUUACAUAGAAUACCAAUUGCGAAGGCAGAUUACUAAUAAUCAACUGACACUGAUGGACGAAAGCGUGGGUAGCGAACAGGAUU
rnacentral:rRNA from 1 species